AUACGUAGGGGGCGAGCGUUGUCCGGAAUUACUGGGCGUAAAGCGCAUGUAGGCGGCCUGUUAAGUCAGGUGUGAAAACUGACGGCUCAACCGUGAGAUUGCACAUGAAACUGGCAGGCUUGAGGGCAGGAGAGGAGAGCGGAAUUCCUAGUGUAGCGGUGAAAUGCGUAGAUAUUAGGAGGAACACCAGUGGCGAAGGCGGCUCUCUGGACUGAACCUGACGCUGAGGUGCGAAAGCUAGGGUAGCGAACGGGAUUAGAUACCCCGGUAGUCCUAGCCGUAAACGAUGGGCACUAGGUGUAGGAGGUAUCGACCCCUUCUGUGCCGGAGCAAACGCAAUAAGUGCCCCGCCUGGGGAGUACGGCCGCAAGGCUGAA
rnacentral:rRNA from 1 species